UACGAAGGGGGCUAGCGUUGCUCGGAAUUACUGGGCGUAAAGGGAGCGUAGGCGGACAUUUAAGUCAGAGGUGAAAUCCCGGAGCUUAACUUCGGAACUGCCUUUGAUACUGGGUGUCUUGAGUGUGAGAGAGGUAUGUGGAACUCCGAGUGUAGAGGUGAAAUUCGUAGAUAUUCGGAAGAAACACCAGUGGCGAAGGCGACAUACUGGCUCAUUACUGACGCUGGAGGCUCGAAAGCGUGGGGAGCAAACAGG
rnacentral:rRNA from 1 species